GACAGAGGGGGCAAGCGUUGCUCGGAAUUACUGGGCGUAAAGGGCUCGUAGGCGGAAUGGCAAGUCGGUCGUGAAAUCCUUCGGCUCAACCGAAGAACGUCGAUCGAAACUGCCGUUCUUGAGGAUUGCAGAGGAGACUGGAAUUCCCGGUGUAGCGGUGAAAUGUGUAGAGAUCGGAAGGAACACCAGUGGCGAAGGCGGCUACCUGGACAGAUACUGACGCUGAGGCGCGAGAGCGUGGGGAGCAAACAGG
rnacentral:rRNA from 1 species